GAUGAACGCUAGCGACAGGCUUAACACAUGCAAGUCGAGGGGCAGCGGGGGCGGAAGCUUGCUUUCGCCCGCCGGCGACCGGCGCACGGGUGAGUAACACGUAUGCAACCUGGCCGCCACAGGGGGAUAACCCGCGGAAACGCGGCCUAAUACCCCGUGACGCCACCGGAGGGCAUCCUCCGGUGGCCAAAGGAGCGAUCCGGUGGCGGAUGGGCAUGCGGCGCAUUAGCUAGACGGCGGGGUGACGGCCCACCGUGGCGACGAUGCGUAGGGGUUCUGAGAGGAAGGUCCCCCACAUUGGAACUGAGACACGGUCCAA
rnacentral:rRNA from 1 species